rnacentral:rRNA from 1 species
UACGUAGGGGGCGAGCGUUACCCGGAUUUACUGGGCGUAAAGCGUGCGCAGGCGGCCCGUUAAGACAGGUGUGAAAUCCCUGGGCUCAACCUAGGAAUUGCGCUUGUGACUGGCGGGCUCGAGUACGGUAGAGGGGGGCGGAAUUCCUGGUGUAGCAGUGAAAUGCGUAGAGAUCAGGAGGAACACCGAUGGCGAAGGCAGCCCCCUGGGCCUGUACUGACGCUCAUGCACGAAAGCGUGGGGAGCAAACAGG